AAAUUGAAGAGUUUGAUCAUGGCUCAGAUUGAACGCUGGCGGCAGGCCUAACACAUGCAAGUCGAACGGUAACAGGAAGAAGCUUGCUUCUUUGCUGACGAGUGGCGGACGGGUGAGUAAUGUCUGGGAAACUGCCUGAUGGAGGGGGAUAACUACUGGAAACGGUAGCUAAUACCGCAUAACGUCGCAAGACCAAAGAGGGGGACCUUCGGGCCUCUUGCCAUCGGAUGUGCCCAGAUGGGAUUAGCUAGUAGGUGGGGUAACGGCUCACCUAGGCGACGAUCCCUAGCUGGUCUGAGAGGAUGACCAGCCACACUGGAACUGAGACACGGUCCAGACUCCUACGGGAGGCAGCAGUGGGGAAUAUUGCACAAUGGGCGCAAGCCUGAUGCAGCCAUGCCGCGUGUAUGAAGAAGGCCUUCGGGUUGUAAAGUACUUUCAGCGGGGAGGAAGGGAGUAAAGUUAAUACCUUUGCUCAUUGACGUUACCCGCAGAAGAAGCACCGGCUAACUCCG
rnacentral:rRNA from 1 species